GCCGGGGAGGGUGGGGUAAUUUACCCAGGGGUGGGGGCAAUUUACCCGCCACAUCACAAACUACAGUCCUUUCAGCCCACCAGACCGAGAAGCAUUACAUCACACUCUCACAAUGAUAGGGGGAGGUGGCUCUGAGAAAGCAAGUUUUCGCCUUUCUUUCCUCCCUGCUCUCAGGCUUCUAGAAUCCUGCAUUGGGAGUAAUGGAAUUUAACUUCGAGCACUGCACAGUUUCGGGGGUUACUAACAAUCACACAGCUACUUAUUUAUAUGAUCCGGCACGACCACUUCACAGAGAAUACGCGGCAAAACAAGCAAACACACGCAAGACACCAAAUUUGCGUUGAGGAGUCCAGAUAUUCAUCUACAUAAAAUUAAACAAAAAUUUUCUUUCGUGAGAAAUGGAGGCCAAUCUACAGAGAGAACUGAUAAAUAAUUCCUAAUCGGAGUGAACAGCUGUUUACAUCUUUAAAAUAUCAUGUUUACAAGACAGUCCUAUCAUUCGGUUGAAACCACGAUCAAAAUAAAAGCGCAUCUGGCUGCACAUUUGAGAACACACACAGAGACCCGGGCAAGCGAGCGCGCCCAGAAAGAAGAACGGAAGCAGCUUUUUGUGACCUUCAAAUAGAGGCGGAUCAUGUGACUUCGGGUCUUUACAUGGUCCCUUUUCUUUGGAUUUCUACUCCCAGAAGAACAGGAAAGGAGCUGUUUCAGGGCAGGCAGAGACCAGUGCUCACACAAUCUGGCAGCCUGGACACGUGUGGUACAAAAUGCUUCCACUGUCUUUGCAAAGCACUGAGUGGAAGAGCCAGACUCUGGCCUGACAGUUGAGAUGCAGGCAAAAGCAGGAAACUUCUAGGAUGGAACUUCUGAACAUUUACUCUAUUUUUAAUCCUUCCAAUACCUUCCAGAUGAGUUAUGGAAGGCUUACUUACAUGGAGCAUGCUCAAUAUGUUAAAAUGCAUGGAGAAUGACUCUACAGCCACCUUGUUUUAAUUUGUGAUGGACACGAUUUCUUUUUGAAACUAAAUUUUGCUAGGUCUCCAUUCCUCAAGGUAGAAUGUUACUGUACAAAUGUUUACAUGGUUUGCCUUGUAUGUGUUAAAUAGAAAGCUGUACAAAAAGUUGGGAAACAGAACAAACACAUUUUAAAAGAAAAUACUGGUCCUGUUUUCAAAUAAUAUGCUCAACAUAGUUUUCUUCAACCUCCAGGCCCGAUUUUUCA